UGUGUUUUAGUAUAUGACGUAUGUAAGUUUUUGAUACUUAGGGAAAUAGUUUAAUUCUGUUAGACACAA
rnacentral:tRNA from 1 species